CCAAAUAUUAUCUUUAUAUUUUGUCACAUGUAUAACAAUAAAAUAAUACAAAAAAUGGCUACUUCAUAUUUUUCAGUGAACCAAAAUCACAUAAAACACAGAUAUAAUCAUGCUGCCGGAAAAAUAAGAAAAACGGCCAGAUCUGUCAGUUUUCAAGCAGACAGUGAUGGAAAAGAAUAAAGGAUGGUGACGCCGGCGAGGGCUCGCCAACGGCGGCUAGAUCUGAGGGGCUAAUUCCGGAGAGUUGGUUCGCCAAUGGGACGCCGAGAAAAGGGAUUUUGGAGGCUGGUUCAGCAUCAGAAAAAAGGGCGAGGGAAGACGUCGGCAGCGCGGAUGACAUUCCGGUGGCGUUGGUUGGUUCCGGCGGAUGGAAACUGCCGUUCAUGGUUGGUUGUUGUCAGAUUUGGACUUUUCUGAUGGGUUUUCCACAUUUUCUGACGAAGUUUAUCAGUUUUUGAAAAUAUUUCGGCGGCAGUGAGUGGAUUGAAGCGAUGUUGAAUUUUUUGAUGAAUUUUCGGUGAGAAACUCGCCGGAAAACUCAAAGAAAGACUAACGAUUUUCCUUCCGUUCUCAACUGUUUUCUCUCUCACUGACUUUUCUACUCGAUUCUAUCUAUAUAUAUAUUUUUUUACUGAUUUUUCUUUUUUCUUUUCUGGUUUGCACUGAUUUUUUAUGAGAUAGUAUGUGAAUAAUGAUGUCUAGAGAUGUGGGUGUGUGCAGUAUCAUGUUUUUA
rnacentral:lncRNA from 1 species